UUCUGUGCUUCUGUUUUGUCCUUGUUGUAUCCCAGGUGAAGAUAAUUCCUGCACUUCAUACACAGUAGGCCCUUUUCUUCUGAGUACUGAGAUGUGCUUUACAAAGAAGCCAAGUAGUGCCAUCAUCUUUCAUCUGGGGAAACUGAGGAAAGAAAUGGUUCAGCAACUUUCCUUAAUUCAGAAAUAUACAUAAUACCUUUGAAGACCUGGAUUUGAGUAUCUCAGAGAAGAAUAGGUGAAGAGAGAAUAGACAUUUCCUCUACACUACUGCUUACUCUACUCCAUAAAAUCUUGUCUGUUGUAUUUUAAUAUAUUAUUAUACUCCUAUGUGAUAUAACGUUUUCCUCUCUGUAGAUAUAUAUAAUAAAAGUAAAGAGAAAAGGUAAGUUA